CCCAGAUCCCCUUUUCUUCUUCGCAAUUUUGGGGUCUGCCUCUCUUCGAUUUCAACUCCCUUCUUGCUAUAAUCCAUGGGUAAUCACAGAAAUAAGCAUAAAUCCACCGCCAGUAAGUCAACGCAGAUGACCCAGAGCAAAAAACUCCACAUCGAAGACGAAGGGUCUGAUUUGCAAUUCACGACAGAAAAAGAGGCGUUCUUCGUCAAGAACGGGUCAGAUCUGCAAUUUCCGACAGAAAAAGAUGUGUUCUCUGCCAAAAACAUUGACGAAAAUUUGAAGAGGACCCAAGCCGGUGAAGCUCCAUCCAUGGCGGCGAUUGAGAAGCACGGGUCAGAUCUGAAAUUUCCGACAGAAAAAGACGCGUUCUCUGCCAAGAGCAUUGACGAAAACUCGAAGGGAACCCAGGCCGGUGAAGAUCCAUCCAUGGCGUCGAUUAAGAAGCAGAGACACGAAUUUACGGCACAUGCAGAUGAAGAUGCAGCGACCCAGAAAGAAAUAGGGUUCUUCGACAAAAGCACCUACGAACAGCUCAAUGGUACCCAGAGUGACGGAGCUCUCUCUCUUUCGAUUGCGAGGAAGGAAAAGCAAGCCCAGAUCCACAUUAACGAAUCCACCAGCCCGCAGCACCAAGAUUUCGACAGCUCUUCGUCUGGAUCUGAAAAGGAAUUUCAAGGUAUGAACACUGUAUCGACCUCAGCUUCUAUUUCUCGAACUUUGGGCGAUGAUGAUUCUGUAGCGAGUAUUGGGGCUGAGUAUGAUGACGCAUCUGUUAGUUGCUCUGUGAGCACACGACCGGUUCAAUCCACACAGAUUUUGCAAAAUUCAGACAAACCAGCUACUGCCGACAAGGUGUUUGUGAAAAUGCCUGAACCAGAUCCCCACUACAGGAAGCAAGCAGAUCUCCCAAAAAACACACCCAAAGCCCCCUUUAACUCCCUAUUUGCGCAAAACAGAGUCCCAAAGAACGGAUUUCAGCUACCGAAUUUCCCACAAGAAAAGGAAGAAGACGAUAUGAUCUUUCAAACGACUGAUGAAACUGAAAUUGAAGACACCUUCGGAAUCUGCCUCCUUGGAUAUUUUGCCGGAAAAUUUCCUGGGAAACAAGCUCUAGCAGCCAUCUGCGAUGCAUGGGAGGUCAAAUAUACCUACAAAAGCCACGAUAAUGGAUGGCUGAUUUUCACAUUCGACAAUGAGGCAGACAAGAACAAAGUACUAGAAGGAGGCCCCUACACGGUCUUUGAUAGGCAGCUUCAUAUGAAACCGAUGGCGAGGUACUUUAAUUUUGACCCGAACGAAAUGUGUAUUGUUCCGGUGUGGGUGAAAUUGCAUAACUGGCCCCCGAUCUACUGGAAUGAAGUUGCUCUAGGCAAAUUUGCUAGCAAACUGGGUACUCCGAUAUGUUCUGAUGCGCUGACUAAAGAAAAACUGAAAAUCUCGUAUGCUAGGCUCUUGGUGAAUGUGGAUGCUUCGAAACCUCUCAGAGAAGAGGUGAAAAUCGUCUAUCCAGAUGGAACGGCAACAAUGCAGAAAAUCGAGUAUGAAUACAAGCCCAAAUAUUGCUCCCACUGCAAAACUCUCGCGCAUAAUACGGCUAACUGCCCAAUUCUGUACCCCCCAGCUGAGCCUAAGGUGAUUCCGGUCAAGAAAGAUCCGAAGCCACCGGAACAAAUCUGGAAACAGAUUAUUCGAGGGAAAGCUACACCUGUUAAUACUCACACAUAUUUUGAGGAGCCGUCUCAAGAUGAUCUACAUGCAGAAUCCUUGAUCACAGCUUUUGUCGGGAACCAUGCAAAAGAACCGGACCCACCCUAUUAUGACAGCAAGCAAUCCGAUUCAACUCCAAACGCACCUACCGAACCCACGAAGGAGGGAGAAUUCCUCAACUUAGGGCACUUUACCCGGUAUAACGGACCUUGGGCACCAUUGGCUGACCAAGAGGAAGUGCAGCAGUUCGAACCUAAUUUCAAACCGGUGAGGAAGCAGCCGAUGCAGCAAGACAGAUCAAGCAAGCAACAUCUGGGACAACACAGAUGGGGAUACGACAAGGGGCAGGGCAGUAGUGCUAGGAAGGCCUAUGGCCUUUCCUUAGCGCAAUGAUUAUAUCUACGUGGAAUAUCAGGGGCUUUAACAAGCCCCUGAAGCAGAAUGGGAUCAGGGAUCUCAUUCUUAAGAAUAAUAUCGACAUUUUUGGUAUUUUGGAAACGAAAGUCAAAACUCAAGCGCUGGUCGAUAAAAUAAUGCAGAACAAGUUCAGUGGUAUGUCGGAAGCCAACAAUUUAUGUCAGCACAGUGGGGGCAGAAUACUCAUCAUUUGGAACCCGUCUAAGGUGCACCUUGAAAUCAGAAGCAUGAUCAAUCAAGCGAUUCACUGUUAUGCUACGUGUAAAAUCACCUCAAUGGAAUUUCACAUCUCAUUUGUGUAUGGAUUAUACUCAAAUUCAGAUAGGAAAUCGCUAUGGCAAUCUAUUGACAAAUAUGGGGAGAAUCUUCGGGAACCAUGGCUAAUCCUUGGUGAUUUCAACUGUGUUCUCAGUCCGGAAGAGAAGAUAGGGGGUAACGAACCUAUCCCAUAUGCCAUAAGGGAUUUUAAUGAUUGCAUGCAAACAAAUGGGAUCUCAGAUCUCCCGUUUAAUGGCUGCCACAUGACCUGGUCCAACUCCGGAACAGAUAACAUCAUUUGGAGCAAACUUGAUAGAGCCAUGGUGAAUCAAUGGUGGUUUCAAACCCCAAAUCAAGCAAAUUUUCAGAGCUCGGUAACUUUUCAACCCUCGGGCGUCCUAUCUGACCACUCCCCAUGCAUCAUCAAUCUCUCCUCAGCGCCUAAGGUACCGAAAAAAGCUUUCAAAUUUUUCAAUAUGUGGGUUCAGCAUCCGAGAUUCAAAGAAAUUGUGCAAGAAAACUGGAACAUGAGGAUCUAUGGUACGGCUCAGUACAGGCUUUGUAAAAAGCUUAAAGUAUUGAAAAAAUCGCUUACUGCCCUCAAUCAGCAAGAGUUCAGUCACAUAUCACAACGGGCAGCAAAGGCGAAGAAAGAGCUUGAAGAUUUCCAAAUUCUUAUGCAAUCAGACCUCAAUAACCGUGAUCUCGCACAAGAAAUAAAAAACAAAACAGCUAGAACUAGAUUCCUUCUGGAAGCCGAAAGGAGUUUUCUGUCCCAAAAAGCAAAAAACAACUACAUCAAGCAUGCCGAUAGAAGCAACAAAGUGUUCUAUGGUGUCAUCAAUAAACGAGCAAAGAGAAAUCACAUUGCAUCUGUUAUUAAAGAGGAUGGUGCAGCUACCACAUCAGAAGAAGAAGUAAUUUCAGAAUUUAUUUACUUCUAUGAGGAACUCCUUGGAUCAGCCGAUCACUGCACUCCCAUUAACAGCGAUAUUAUCAAAUUCGGGCCAAUUCUGAGUGAAGACCAAGGAAGAGAACUUAUCAAACCGAUAUCUGUCCAAGAGAUCCGGUAUGCUCUCCAAGAGAUUGGUGACGACAAAUCCCCGGGGCCGGAUGGAUAUAACUCAUUUUUCUUCAAGAAAGCGUGGUCUACAGUCGGAAGAGAUGUAAUAGAUGCAGUCCGGGAAUUUUUCAGUAGUGGGAGGCUCUUAAAGCAAUUGAACCACACUACGCUUGCUCUUAUCCCUAAAUCCGAUAAUGCUUCUGCCGUUGGUGAUUAUAGACCCAUAGCGUGCUGCAACAUCGUCUAUAAAAUCAUCUCAAAAAUCAUUGCAACAAGGCUGAGCUGUGUUCUUGACCUCCUUGUGGAUAAAGCACAAUCUGCCUUCAUCAAAGGGAGAAACAUCGGGGAUAACAUCCAUCUGGCUGAAGUGCUGCUUAGACAAUACCAAAGAGCCAGAACUGCACCUAAAUGCCUCAUCAAGGUGGACUUAAGAAAAGCCUACGACUCCAUUAAUUGGACUUUUAUUGGCGAUAUGCUGACUGAGCUCCACUUCCCUCCAAUAUUCCGAGCAUGGAUAAUGGAGUGUGUAUCUACAACAGCAUACUCAAUUUCUAUCAAUGGAAGCUCUCAUGGUUUCAUCAAGGGCAAGAAAGGCCUUCGACAAGGGGACCCCCUGUCCCCCUUCCUAUUUGUUCUCUGCCUUGACUAUUUCUCUAGACUCAUCAAGAGUAAAACCAUGAACUCAGAGUUUAAUUUCCACCCAAAAUGCGAUAAAAACAAUAUUACUCAUUUAGCUUUUGCGGAUGAUUUAAUGUUGUUUGCUAGAGGGGACUUGGGCUCGAUUUCAGUGCUUACCGGCUGCCUUAGCAUACUUGGCGAUACUACUGGGCUAAAAAUCAGCAUGCACAAAUCAAAUAUCUAUCUUGCUGGUGUGAAAGAGCAGGAGAAAGCAACCAUCCUUGACCAUCUGCCUAUCGCGCACGGGACUUUCCCUUUCAGAUAUCUGGGCAUACCUCUGGCGGCCUCAAAACUGAAGGUAUUACAGUAUUCCCCUCUGAUCGAAAGGAUAAGGAAACUUAUUGAUAAAUGGAGCGGAGCCACUUUAUCCUAUGGAGGAAAAAUUGAGCUCAUUACUUCAGUAGUGCAAGGGGUGGUGUGCUUUUGGCUCUCAUUGUUUCACAUUCCCUCAGCUGUGGUAUAUUGUAUUCAGAGGCUCUGCAGUAUCUUUCUCUGGGGUUCAAACAAUGCUACCGUCCAAUGGAAUGAGCUGUGCUUCCCCAAAACCGAAGGGGGGUUAGGGUUUCGAAAUCUCAAGGUGUGGAAUAGAGCGCUACUACUAAAAGAGGUUUGGAACAUUCAUUCGAAAAAGGAUACCCUAUGGAUCCAAUGGGUGAACGAGUUCUUCUUCAAAACAGUGGAUAUAUGGGAGUGGCAGCCUAAACAAGAUUCACCACCGCUACUUAAAUCACUCGCUGGGACCAUCAAAAUAUUGGUCACAAAAGCUGGUAAAGAGCUCUCAGUCUGUCAAUCCUUACUAUGUCUGGACCUGGUAAGUUUCCCCGUGUUGAGUCAAAUUAAGCCGCAGGCUCCAAGCAACCAAUACGAUGGUGGUGCA
rnacentral:lncRNA from 1 species